ACUACUUCUUCGUAUGCGUUGCGUUUUUCAGCAAACAUGUUUAUGGGAUUGAAAUGAGAAUAACCGUUUUAUUAAUAUCGAAGCUCAUACAAGCCUUUUCCUCCACUACUCAUAGAGGGUGUGUAUUGUACAUAGUUGAAACCCCUCCCCCAACGCCAUUGUUUUAAACCACACACGAUAUUACGGAAAAAUUGGUGAGGAUCCCUCAAAGUCACUCAUGUCGGGUGCACCUCUCAUGCAUUCCACUGCUGCACAUCUUUUGCGUGUUUUCUCCGCCUUUUUCAGGACACAAUGAUUAACCUUCAGUGGUACAUUUUGUCUUCUUAAAACCGCAAUAGCUCCGAGGAGGUUUCUGACCUUAGCAUGCUCUCUUGCAAGUUCCAAUUUCAAUGCGCCACUGUUGAGCUGUUAUAUUCCAUAUUUCAAAGCAAAAACUUGAAAGUCACAAGCAACCAAGUAGACUUUCACACAGGCUUUGAAGUUUAGGUUAUUAUGCCCCCCUUCGAAGAAGAGGGGGUAUAUUGCUUUGCUCAUGUCGGUCGGUCGGUCGGUCCGUCCACCAGGUGGUUUUCGGAUGAUAACUCAAGAACGCUUGGGGCUAGGAUCAUGAAACUUCAUAGGUACAUUGAUCAUGACUCGCAGAUGAACCCUAUUGAUUUUGAGGUCACUAGGUCAAAGGUCAAGGUCACGGUGACCCGAAAUAGUAAAAUGGUUUUUGAAUGAUAACUCAAGAACGCAUAUGCCUAGGAUCAUGAAACUUCAUGGGUAGAUUGAUCAUGACUUGCAGAUGACCCCUAUUGAUUUUGAGGUCACUAGGUCAAAGGUCAAGGUCACGGUGACCCGAAAUAGUAAAAUGGUUUUCGGAUGAUAACUCGAGAACGCAUACGCCUAGGAUCAUGAAACUUCAUAGGUAGAUUGAUCAUGACUUGCAGAUGACCCCUAUUGAUUUUGAGGUCACAAGGUCAAAGGUCAAGGUCACGGUGACCCGAAAUAGUAAAAUGAUUUUCGGAUGAUAACUCAAGAACGCUUUUGCCUAGGAUCAUGACACUUCAUAGGUACAUUGAUCGUGACUCGCAGAUGACCCCUAUUGAUUUUCAGGUCACUAGGUCAAAGGUCAAGGUAACAGUGACAAAAAUCGUAUUCACACAAUGGAUGCGUCUACAACGGACAGCCCAUAUGGGGGGCAUGCAUGUUUUACAAACAGCCCUUGUUGUUAAAUAAAUCAAAGUGGUGCAGUAGGCAGCAUUGUGUUUCUGACAAACACAUUGUGGUAAAAGGUCAAGGUCAUUCUUUACGGUCUACGGUAAAAAAUACAGAUUUAAGGGAAGUAAUAAGCUUUCAAAAGGGAGAAAAUUAUUCAAUAUUGAACAUAGCCACUUUAUAUAUUUGGCAUGCAUGUGUAUCUCAUGGAGCUGCACAUUUUGAGUGGUGAAUCUACAGUCACGGUAGUGGCUUUUAAUUAUUUGCUACUAAAAAUAGAGAUUUGUUACAGACAAUUAUUUUCAAGGGAAGUAAUUUAUAUAAUUAUAAAUCUCAUAUUAUAUAUUUCCUUACCAAGAAUUGAAGUUCUUUUCACAGUAACUGUACAGAUUUAUUAUUUUGAUUAUUAUGCCCCCCUUCGAAGAAGAGGGGGUAUAUUGUUUUGCUCAUGUUGGUCGGUCGGUCGGUCUGUCCACCAGAUGGUUUCUGGAGGAUAACUCAAGCAUGCUUACGCCUAGGAUCAUGAAUUUUUAUAGGUACAUUGAUCAUGACAAGCAGAUGACCCCUAUUGAUUUUCAGGUCACUAGGUCAAAGGUCAAUUUCACAGUGACUCGAAACAGUAAAAUGGUUUCCGGAUGAUACCUCAAGAACGCUUAUGCCUAGGAUCAUGAAACUUCAUAGGUACAUUGAUCAUGACCCGCAGAUGACCCCUAUUGAUUUUCAGGUCACUAGGUCAAAGGUCAAGGUCACAGUGAAUCUAAAUAGUAAAAUGGUUUCUGGAUGAUAACUCAAGAAUACUUACGCUUAGGAUCAUGAAAAUUCAUAGGUUCAUUGAUCACGACUGGCAGAUGACCCCUAUUAAUUUUCAGGUCACUAGGUCAAAGGUAAAGGUCACAGUGACUUGAAACAGUAAAAUCGUUUCCUGAUGAUAACUCAAGAAUAAUUAGGCCUAGGAUAAUGAAACUUCAUAGGUACAUUGAUCAUGACUGGCAGAUGACCCCUAUUGAUUUUCAGGUCACUAGGUCAAAGGUCAAGGUCACAGUGACAGAAAAGCGAUUCACACAAUGGCUGCCACUGCAACUGACAGCCCAUAUGGGGGGCAUGCAUGUUUUACAAACAGCCCUUGUCAUUGUAGAAUCUAUAAAUAAACAUAGACUUUAUAUAAUAUCAGUUAUUGCUAUGGCUUUAAAUAAUAUCAAUUAUUGCCAUUACUUUGUUGUAAUUUGGUGAAUAUAAUCAUCUGUUGUAUUUUACUAUAUCAGCAAUAAACUAUGUUUCUAAAAUUGUUAAAGUAGUUUUUAUUAUAGCAGAAAAUGUAUAAAUGUAAACACUUAUCGCAUAUGCAUAGAACAUCUCUGCAGAUUCAUCCUAAAUUAAUUAUUAAAAAAAAACACAUUGUAUAUAUAUAUAUAUUAUAUAUAUCAAGUUUAUAUAAAGAAAACCUUCGAUUUGAUAUAAAGAAAACCUUCGAUUUGAUAAAAGCAAAACACUUACAUCCGAAAUCAAUUCGAAAUGCGAUGCUUCUGCAGGCGCACCAGCUUCGACAGGUGUUGGUGCUUGCGUUGAUGGUGGUAAUAGCGCUGGUGUUGAUGGUGGUAAUAGCGCUGAUGGCACUGGUGAUGAAGGUGGUAAUUGCACUGGUGGUGCUGGUGUUGAUGAUGAGUCCUAAAAUUAGAAUAAACACAAUGUUCAUGUUAAAUAUUAAACUUGUAAUAUGAAUUAAUUUUAUUUUAAUUAUAUUUUAUUUUAAACAAAUACAAGAAAGAACCAAUAUACAUAUAUAACUUACCCCAUGCCACAAGGCAUUGUACCCUUGUAUGUGGGGUACUAAUCCCAUUAAUGCUUCCACUUUGUGGAUGCUCAGAGAAACAAAUUUACUCUUUUUAUUAUCAACAAUGUGCACAUACGUACCCCCCCCCCCUCCCCAA